rnacentral:rRNA from 1 species
GACGAACGCUGGCGGCGCGCCUAACACAUGCAAGUCGAACGAGCGAGAGAGAGCUUGCUUUCUCGAGCGAGUGGCGAACGGGUGAGUAACGCGUGAGGAACCUGCCUCAAAGAGGGGGACAACAGUUGGAAACGACUGCUAAUACCGCAUAACAGUUUAUGCCGCAUGGCAUAAGAGUGAAAGGCGCUUUCGGGUGUCGCUGAUGGAUGGACCCGCGGUGCAUUAGCUAGUUGGUGAGGUAACGGCUCACCAAGGCCACGAUGCAUAGCCGACCUGAGAGGGUGAUCGGCCACACUGGGACUGAGACACGGCCCAG